CCCUCCACUCUCUCCCGUGCGCUGCUGCACGGGUACAUGAGUAAAUAAAUACAACGGGGGUUGUGAGUGCUUAAGUGCUUAGGUGAUGUGGCAGGGCUGAAGUGGGAAUCACAGGGAGACUAAGGUAGGGAGAUUAGCAAUCGGGAAAGGCGUCCUGGAGAUGUGAUUUCAGAAGGGCGCUGAAGACUGGGAGAGAAGCGAUCUGUCGGUUAUUAAGUGGGAAAGAGUUCCAGGCCCAGGGGAGAGAAGAACAAAGCUUAGUGAGUAGACUGGCUUGAGAGGAACAAAGAGUAUGAGCUGGGGUGUAGUGGGAGAAGAGAGGGUAGAGAUCCGAUUGAGUGCCUUAGAACCGGCGAUCUGGAGUUUCCGCUUGUGUGGAAAGGAAUGGAGCAUUUAAGGAGCGGGCAGCUGUGUGCAGUACAAGAUUUAGAAAAAUGAUCUCCAAGAAGAAUACGCUACGGAUGUCCAGAUGUAGACAUUGAAGACUCAAGCCUGUGGCUGAAAAACAGGGCCGUUUUCCUGGAGACCAAAGUUGUGGUCACCUGAGGCCAUGUAAACUGCAAGGCUCAGGCAAGGAUCACGUUAACUCCCUGUGGACACCUCUCUUCCUCUGAGUUCCUCACAACGUACGCUACUGAGGAUCUGCCUCGGGAGUAAGUGAGGUAACCGAAGCCCAGAGAAGUGAUGCGACUUGCCCAAG